GUGCUUACUUCCACAGCACAUAUACUAAAAUCGGAACAAUACAGAAAAGAUUAACAUGGCCCCCGCACAAGGAUGACAUGAAAAUUCGUGAAGCACUCCCUAUCAUU
rnacentral:snRNA from 1 species